CAGUGCCAGACCUUGGUUUGUCUAACUUUUAUAACAACACAACUAUUGAAAAGUCUAGUAAUACGCUAAUCACUCUCUACACAUUUCAAAUAUUUCAAGUUGCUGUAAGUAUUUGUGCCUAUGGAACUCUCUCUGCCUACAGGGUUCUAACUAAUAUUAUCAACACGAUCAUUUUUGUAAAGCUCUCACUGAAAGACACCAUGA